rnacentral:rRNA from 1 species
AGAGUUUGAUCAUGGCUCAGAUUGAACGCUGGCGGCAGGCUUAACACAUGCAAGUCGAGCGGGGGAAGGUAGCUUGCUACUGGACCUAGCGGCGGACGGGUGAGUAAUGCUUAGGAAUCUGCCUAUUAGUGGGGGACAACAUCUCGAAAGGGAUGCUAAUACCGCAUACGUCCUACGGGAGAAAGCAGGGGAUCUUCGGACCUUGCGCUAAUAGAUGAGCCUAAGUCGGAUUAGCUAGUUGGUGGGGUAAAGGCCUACCAAGGCGACGAUCUGUAGCGGGUCUGAGAGGAUGAUCCGCCACACUGGGACUGAGACACGGCCCAGACUCCUACGGGAGGCAGCAGUGGGGAAUAUUGGACAAUGGGGGGAACCCUGAUCCAGCCAUGCCGCGUGUGUGAAGAAGGCCUUAUGGUUGUAAAGCACUUUAAGCGAGGAGGAGGCUACUUUAGUUAAUACCUAGAGAUAGUGGACGUUACUCGCAGAAUAAGCACCGGCUAACUCUGUGCCAGCAGCCGCGGUAAUACAGAGGGUGCGAGCGUUAAUCGGAUUUACUGGGCGUAAAGCGUGCGUAGGCGGCUUAUUAAGUCGGAUGUGAAAUCCCCGAGCUUAACUUGGGAAUUGCAUUCGAUACUGGUGAGCUAGAGUAUGGGAGAGGAUGGUAGAAUUCCAGGUGUAGCGGUGAAAUGCGUAGAGAUCUGGAGGAAUACCGAUGGCGAAGGCAGCCAUCUGGCCUAAUACUGACGCUGAGGUACGAAAGCAUGGGGAGCAAACAGGAUUAGAUACCCUGGUAGUCCAUGCCGUAAACGAUGUCUACUAGCCGUUGGGGCCUUUGAGGCUUUAGUGGCGCAGCUAACGCGAUAAGUAGACCGCCUGGGGAGUACGGUCGCAAGACUAAAACUCAAAUGAAUUGACGGGGGCCCGCACAAGCGGUGGAGCAUGUGGUUU